rnacentral:rRNA from 1 species
CGGAUGCGAUCAUACCAGAACUAAUGCACCGAAUCCCAUCAGAAUUCCGCAGUUAAGCGUGCUUGGGCGGGAGCAGUACUAGGAUGGUGACCCCUUGGGAAGUCUUCGUGUUGCACCC